rnacentral:piRNA from 1 species
UAAACACGUUUUAUAAACUGAAUGUAAAUUU